rnacentral:rRNA from 1 species
GUGCCAGCAGCCGCGGUUAAUACGGAAGGUACCGGGCGUUAUCCGGAUUUAUUGGGUUUAAAGGGAGCGUAGGCCGUAUGGUAAGCAGUGUUGUGAAAUGUCCUGGCUCAACCAGGGCCCUGCAGCGCGAACUGCCGUACUUGAGUGCGCUGGAAGUAGGCGGAAUUCGUGGUGUAGCGGUGAAAUACUUAGAUAUCACGAAGAACUNCCGAUUGCGAAGGCACUUACCGUCGCGUAACUGACGCUGAAGCUCGAAAGUGCGGGUAUCGAACAGGAUUAGAUACCCUGGUAGUCCGCACGGUAAACGAUGGAUGCUCGCUGUUCGCCCUCCGGGGUGAGUGGCCAAGCGAAAGCAUUAAGCAUCCCACCUGGGGAGUACGCCGGCAACGGUGAAACUCAAAGGAAUUGACGGGGCCCGCACAAGCGGAGGAACAUGUGGUUUAAUUCGGAUGAUACGCGAGGAACCUUACCCGGGCUUGAACUGCAGGAGAACGAUACAGAGAUGUUGAGGUCCUUCGGGACUCCUGCGGAGGUGCUGCAUGGUUGUCGUCACUCGUGCCGUGAGGUGUCGGCUUAAGUGCCAUAACGAGCGCUAACCCCUGUCCCUAGUUGCCAUCAGGUCAUGCUGGGCACUCUGUGGAUACUGCCACCGCAAGGUGUGAGGAAGGUGGGGAUGACGUCAAAUCAGCACGGCCCUUACGUCCGGGGCUACACACGUGUUACAAUGGCGCAUACAGAGAGCCGGUUCAUGGCAACAUGGAUCCAAUCCUUAAAUGCGUCGUAGUUCGGAUUGGGUCUGCAACCCGACCCCAUGAAGCUGGAUUCGCUAGUAAUCGCGCAUCAGCCAUGGCGCGGUGAAUACGUUCCCGGGCCUUGUACACACCGCCCGU